AGUGAACGCUGGCGGUAGGCCUAACACAUGCAAGUCGAACGGCAGCACAGUAAGAGCUUGCUCUUACGGGUGGCGAGUGGCGGACGGGUGAGGAAUACAUCGGAAUCUACUUUUUCGUGGGGGAUAACGUAGGGAAACUUACGCUAAUACAGCAUACGACCUACGGGUGAAAGCAGGGGAUCUUCGGGCCUUGCGCGAUUGAAUGAGCCGAUGUCGGGUUAGCUAGUUGGCGGGGUAAAGGCCCACCAAAGCGACGAUCCGUAGCUGGUCUGAGAGGAUGGUCAGCCACACUGGAACUGAGACACGGUCCAGACUCCUACGGGAGGCAGCAGUGGGGAAUAUUGGACAAUGGGCGCAAGCCUGAUCCAGCCAUACCGCGUGGGUGAAGAAGGCCUUCGGGUUGUAAAGCCCUUUUGUUGGGAAAGAAAAGCAGCAGGUUAAGACCCCGCUGUUCUGACGGUACCCAAAGAAUAAGCACCGGCUAACUUCGUG
rnacentral:rRNA from 1 species